rnacentral:rRNA from 1 species
GAUGAACGCUGGCGGCGUGCCUAAUACAUGCAAGUCGAGCGAACAGACGAGGAGCUUGCUCCUCUGACGUUAGCGGCGGACGGGUGAGUAACACGUGGAUAACCUACCUAUAAGACUGGGAUAACUUCGGGAAACCGGAGCUAAUACCGGAUAAUAUAUUGAACCGCAUGGUUCAAUAGUGAAAGACGGUUUUGCUGUCACUUAUAGAUGGAUCCGCGCCGCAUUAGCUAGUUGGUAAGGUAACGGCUUACCACGGCGACGAUGCGUAGCCGACCUGAGAGGGUGAUCGGCCACACUGGAACUGAGACACGGCCCAGACUCCUACGGGAGGCAGCAGUAGGGAAUCUUCCGCAAUGGGCGAAAGCCUGACGGAGCAACGCCGCGUGAGUGAUGAAGGUCUUCGGAUCGUAAAACUCUGUUAUUAGGGAAGAACAAUUGUGUAAGUAACUAUGCACGUCUUGACGGUACCUAAUCAGAAAGCCACGGCUAACUACGUG